AAAUGGUAGACGUGGUAUAUCUUGACUUUAGUAAGGGAUUUGAUACUGUCCUGCAUGACCUUCUCAUAAACAAACCCAGAUGGAGCUACAAUAAGGUGCAGUUUUCCAUCACUACUCAUUGGGUGCGUUCCUCCAGGAAGGACUCAAACCAUUUUAGCAUGCUAUCCUGAAACCCUGCCACCUCUCUCAGAUGAGCCAGCAAAUUCUUAUGGUUGACAAUGCUGCAGAGAGUCCAGGAGGUUCUGUUGUGAAAGGCUGAUGGUUCUUUUUUCUACCCCUUCAAAAACAGAAACAACCUCGAAAGGCCCUGAAUUCUAGCUACCUGCUCAGGCUGAAGAGGCAAACACUAUAACAAAAACCUCUUAUGAGGUUUAACAGGACUCCAGCUUGGGGUGACUCGGCUGAAGGAAAAAGAAGUGGGGGGAUCGAGAGCAAAGAAAUAACGUGUUGAUAUUUGUUAAAUGGCACGAGAGCCAUCUGCUGUGUCUUGGAGUCUCUCAUCAGAAUGCUGCCAUCUCCAGAGAUGCUGUGUCUGCUGAAGUUCUGCAUCCAUUUGCGCAUUGGGAGGUGCUACUGGAGAAAAAUAAGUUUGUGGAUAUUUCAGCAUCAUGCAGAUGCUAUAUUUCUUAUACAGAGGCACACUGUACAGGCUAUCUAUAGGGCAUACCAAAGACCUGCUACAGUAUUUAAUAAACAUAGUUUGUUCCUGCCAAUAGCUGCCUGUUCUGCAUGGCCGA